CACAAGCAAGAGGGAAGCUGUGCCAAUUAGCUUUCAGAUUUCGCAUGUAUAAAAAGGAGCCUCUCGUUAAGUAGCUUUGUGUAGUCUAAGCAUCCAUUACAUAAAUUGUGUGUGUGUGUGUGUGUUCUAAGUUCUAACUUCAAAAACCAAGAGUUGUCUAGUUCCAUAGAAAAAAACAAGCAUGGUGGAUGGGUUUAAAGAGAAGCAGAUUGCUGAGCUCCAAGAAGCCUUUUGUCUAUUUGACAAGGAUGGAGAUGGGCGCAUUACCUUUGAGGAAAUGGCCACUGUAAUCAAAUCUCUUGACCAUGGCGCCACAGAAGAAGAGUUACGUCAUAUGAUCAGAGAGGCUGAUGUCGAUGGUAAUGGAACCAUAGAAUUUGGGGAGUUCUGGAAUCUAAUGGCAAGGAAAAUUAAGGAAAAUGAUGCUGAUGAUGAAUUGAAAGAGGCCUUUAAAGUAUUCGACAAGGAUUAAGAUGGUUACAUUUCACAUAAUGA